rnacentral:rRNA from 1 species
AUUGAACGCUGGCGGCAGGCCUAACACAUGCAAGUCGAACGAGUGGCGGACGGGUGAGUAAUGUCUGGGAAACUGCCCGAUGGAGGGGGAUAACUACCGGAAACGGUAGCUAAUACCGCAUAACAUAGGAUGUGCCCAGAUGGGAUUAGCUAGUAGGUGGGGUAACGGCUCACCUAGGCGACGAGCCAUAGCUGGUCUGAGAGGAUGACCAGCCACACUGGAACUGAGACACGGUCCAGACUCCUACGCGAGGCAGCAGUGUGGAAUAUUGCACAAUGGGCGCAAGCCUGAUGCAGCCAUGCCGCGUGUAUGAAGAAGGCCUUCGGGUUGUAAAGUACUUUCAGCGGGGAGGCGUUACUCGCAGAAGAAGCACCGGCUAACUCCGUGCCAGCAGCCGCGGUAAUUC